UAUAGAGAGAGAGAGAGAGAGAGAGUACUCCGAGAGAGCAAUGCUUCAAUACAUCAUAAGUAUUAAAAUCAAACUCUUAAUUAGUAAAGGGUAUAGUUAAAUUUUACAUAAAGUAAUCUAUUGAACAAGUUACCGAUUUGAAUUAGUUAAUAUGACAAUAUUGAAAAAAAAUUAGUAGUAUAUACCAAAUUUGUUAGCAUCCUAUAAUAUUAAAUAUCUUAUUUAGUUUUGUUACUUACCAAAUUAAAUAAUACCCAAUUUGUUAAGUAUCCAACUCAAAAUAAUGUUGAAUUUAAAUUUAAGUUUUAAAGUUGGCAUUGUAAUGUAAAGUUUUAAUUUCAAAUUUAUAUUAAACUUUUAAAUUUUGAAUCUACAUUGUACUUUUAAUCUGAAAGCCAAAUUUUAAUUUUUGAUUUAAAUUAAAAUUUUGAAUUUGAACUGAAAGUUUUAUUUUAACUUUGUGUUUUGUAUUUAAAAGUUGAAUUUGAUUUAUAAUUAAGUUUUUUAUAUUGUUUUGUAUUUAAAUUUGCAGUUUAGUUGUAAUUUGAAUUCCAAUUGUUGUUGUAGAUAUUUAAGAAAGUUAUAAUAUUCUUAGUUGGAUAAAACCAAUUUUGUAGACCAAAAUAUUUUUCUAAGACCAAAAUAUUCUUUAAAUAGGUACCUGGAGUUGAGCUAGAAUACUAUCGAUAGUAAACGAGCCAUUUUACUACCGAUUUGUUUUCGAUGAUAGAGCUUCCAAAUUGAUGAUCGGUUCCGUUGAACAUGAUCUAUGCCACUUGAAGUGUUUAGAAAUCAAAUUUCAAAUUUUUUCGACAUCAUUUGACUAAUGAUCAAAGGGUUUCAAAUUUUAUAAUUUUAACGGUCGAUAAGAGGCGUUUUCUCGUUUAGCGGCGUAAAGAUAUCGAAAUCAAUUGAAUUUUUGUUAGAAAAUUCUUUAAACUAUUUAAAACAAGAUCUAUACUCUUGAUCUUGAUUACAAGACUCCUAUCAUCAUUUUUUAAAGAACAUUCAUUUUCAGCCAUUCAUUUUUCUGUUCACUUGAUGGAUAAAAGAACAAUAUCGAAAGUGCGUGAAAUUUGAUUUCUAGCUAGUUUAAAUGGUUUAGAUCAUAUUUAACGGAGCCGAUCGUCAAUUUGGAAACUCUAUCAUCGAAAACAAAUCGGUAGUAAACCGGCUAGUUUACUAUCAAUAGUAUUCUAGCUCAACUAUAUAUAUAUAUAUAUAUAUAUAUAUANCCGAUUCUUUUACACCGUUAAACUAGUAAAUAUUCCAUACCGGCCGUUAAAAAUUGUCAAUUUUAUGAGCUUUUGAUCGUAGGGUAAAUGAUACCGAAAAUUAUAAAAUUUAAUUUCUAGAAGUUUUAAGUGCUCUAGAUAAUAUUUAACGGUAUGAAUCGUCGAUUCGAAAGCUCUAUCGUCGAAAACAACUUAUGAGUACGAAGUCGAUCGUACUCAUAAGAGUAUAAUAGCCGGACUCUAUCUAUAUAUAGAGAGAGAGUCCGGCCACUAUACUUUUAUGAAUAUAGAGCCUAUUGUACUCAUAAGUUUUUUACCGUUAAAUCUACCCUUUAAUCAUUUUUACCCGUUAAAUUAUAUUAUUCAACCAACCAUACACUCAACCCUAGGGGGGCCACUAUCAAACAUCUGAACGGUCGAAAACUUAUGAGUACAAAGGGCUCUAUAUUCAUAUGAGUAUAGUAGCCCCAGCCUAUAUAUAUAUAUAUAUAUAUAUAUAUAUAUAUAUAUAUAUAUAUAUAGUUCGGCUACUAUACUCUUAUGAGUACGAUCGCCCUCGUACUCAUAAGUCGUUUUCGAUGAUAGAGCUUCAGAAUCGACGAUUCAUACCGUUAAACAUUAUCUAGAGUAUUUAAAACUUCUAGAAGUCAAAUUUCAUAGUUUUUCGACAUCAUUUUGAAGUUGGUAUUGUAAUGUAAAGUUUCAAUUUCAAAUUUAUAUUAAACUUUUAAAUUUUGAAUCUACAUUGUACUUUUAAUCUGAAAGCCAAAUUUUAAUUUUUGAUUUAAAUUAAAAUUUUGAAUUUGAGCUGAAAGUUUUUUUAAAUUUGUGUUUUAUAUUUAAACGUUGAAUUUGAUUUAUAAUUAAGUGUUUUAUGCUGCUUUGUAUUUAAAUUUGCAGUUUAGUUGUAAUUUGAAUUUCAAUUAUUGUUGUAGAUAUUUAAGAAAGUUAUAAUAUUCUUAGUUGGAUAAAAUCGAUUUUGUAGACCAAAAUAUUUUUCUAAGAUCAAAAUAUCCUUUAAAUAGGACCCGGUGAAUAAUACUUAUGGCUGAAUAGUAGGUCGCCUCUAAAAUCAUAUUAUAUCUCAACCAUCUAUUUAAAAAAAUAAAUGGUCAAGAUUUAUAUGGUAUAUUAAAAUAUUA
rnacentral:lncRNA from 1 species